GAGGAGUGAGAAAAAGGACCAAGUCCCAGGUGAGUCCCGGCACAGGCAGGUGUGGAGGAGUGCCACCACUGUCCUUUUGGAAGACAGUCAGCAGUUCCUGCUGCAGGACACUGGUGCCCUUUUUUUCCCUCAGCACUUUAAAGAAGCUCUGUGGAAAAGAAUUUCUGGGAGCCUCUGGUAGAGGCAUCUGCUUUUGGCCAUGGUUGGAGACAAGACACCAGCGCUGAUGAACCUUUUGCCUGACAGAUGGCUGCUCUUGCAGGACCACUGCAUGCGGACGGUAAAUGUGACCCAGUUCCCACCUGCACCGUGAAGCUGGAGACAAGAAAGUGGCAAAGAGCUUCAGAAAGCAUGACUGUUUGCAAACAAGAAGGAAAGGUAUGGUAUGUACAUGUCAGAUAGUGUGCUAUCCCUUGAGAAGCAUGUUGGAGUGGGAACUGAAACCUGCCAAGUGCUAUGGAAGGUACUGCCAGAAGGCUGGGCUGAAUGUGAGAGUAAGUCACCUCCCUCUCUGGCCACUGUGAUAUUGAAGGUUUUGCUUCUAUACUGGUAGAGCAAAGCAUUUUUCCAGUACAGCGAGUACUGUUAAGGGAUGACUUGCUCACAGGAACAGACCCAAACUUUCUCUGUGUAUUUUAAUGAUUGUUUUCUUAAUUUGGGUUCCUUAAUAUAUAUUGUAAAGACAAGCAGGUAAAAAAAUGCCUCAAAGCUAAAUGUGGUCCAAAGCAGCUUCCUUAAAUGGAAAAAGUACUACAUGGCAGCCGAUGCUAAAAGUUUAUCCUGAAGCUCUGAUAUCUUCCAUGUUUGUAAUAACCUUAAGGAAUUGAUCUAGUUGUACAAUCCAAUUUAAGACUUUUUUUUUUUUCCCCCUUUUCCAGCAUUUGCUGUUUGGGCAGAAGCAUGUAUACUUCCACUUCCUUCCGAGGUUGGGCUGGUGACUACGGACACAGAGAGUUCCGUGACAUGCAUUGGAUAGCUUGGAGGUGGAUGUGAUGGCAAUUUAAUAUUGAGACGCCUGAUAUGACAGCCGUGGCAGAGCAAGUGGCCCUCUAAUGGGUAACAACGAUGGCCUUCCUCAUCAUUGAGCUGCAAGCCACAAUCCUAGAAGAAACACAAACAUCCCAGAUCAGCGAGUGAUUCAGUGAAGGGGACUCCAUCCAAACACUCGUUACACACCACACAGCGGAAGCAGCCAGGAUGGUAUGACUUUCCAAGGGCCUGUAAGAUCUUAAAGACGCAAACAGCAAAGUUUCAAGGAGAGGCCUGAUGCAGUCUGAGCCACACCACUACAGAACAGCUCCCCUCCUUUCUGGCAUCCUUCUGUGUAACGCUCAGUGUGGCACUGGGACAUCAAGGAGGACACACCAAGCCCAUGAAGAGUGAGACAUGGUAUCAUCUUCAGGCAGCUUUCAACAGUGACAGUAUUUGGGAGCACAGCAACGCUUGGCAUUCAUGCUGCCUCUGGAACCUGAAAGCACCUCCUGUCCCAACCUAGAGCCAUGAGUGCCUUGAAAAGGCUCACAGACUUCCUUACACGCUUCUCUACACAGGAAUAUUGCAGCAAAUCCCUUUCCAAGCUUUGAUUCCAUCAUUCUGUUAAACAUCAAUAAACACCCAUGUCUGUCUGU